UACGUAGGGCGCAAGCGUUUGUCCGGAAUUAUUGGGCGUAAAGAGCUCGUAGGCGGCUUGUCACGUCGAUUGUGAAAGCCCGAGGCUUAACCUCGGGUCUGCAGUCGAUACGGGCUAGCUAGAGUGUGGUAGGGGAGAUCGGAAUUCCUGGUGUAGCGGUGAAAUGCGCAGAUAUCAGGAGGAACACCGGUGGCGAAGGCGGAUCUCUGGGCCAUUACUGACGCUGAGGAGCGAAAGCGUGGGGAGCGAACAGG
rnacentral:rRNA from 1 species